UACGUAGGGUGCAAGCGUUGUCCGGAAUUAUUGGGCGUAAAGAGCUCGUAGGUGGCCUGUCGCGUCGGCUGUGAAAACUCGGGGCUCAACUCCGAGCUUGCGGUGGGUACGGGCAGACUAGAGUGUGGUAGGGGAGACUGGAAUUCCUGGUGUAGCGGUGAAAUGCGCAGAUAUCAGGAGGAACACCGGUGGCGAAGGCGGGUCUCUGGGCCGAUACUGACGCUGAGGAGCGAAAGCAUGGGGAGCGAACAGG
rnacentral:rRNA from 1 species